rnacentral:rRNA from 1 species
GAUGAACGCUAGCGGCAGGCUUAAUACAUGCAAGUCGAGGGGCAGCAGUUUUGUAGCAAUACAGAAGCUGGCGACCGGCAAACGGGUGCGGAACACGUACGCAACCUUCCUUUAACUGGAAGAUAGCCCACCGAAAGGUGGAUUAAUACUCCAUAACAUAUUGAAGAGGCAUCUUUUUGAUAUUAAAGCUCCGGCGGUUAAAGAUGGGCGUGCGUCUGAUUAGGUAGUUGGCGGGGUAACGGCCCACCAAGCCUUCGAUCAGUAGCUGAUGUGAGAGCAUGAUCAGCCACACGGGCACUGAGACACGGGCCCGACUCCUACGGGAGGCAGCAGUAAGGAAUAUUGGUCAAUGGACGCAAGUCUGGACCAGCCAUGCCGCGUGGAGGAUGAAGGCCCUCUGGGUUGUAAACUUCUUUUCUUUGGGACGAAACCCCUGUUUCUACGGGGACUGACGGCACCAGAGGAAUAAGCACCGGCUAACUCCGUGCCAGCAGCCGCAGUAACAC